rnacentral:rRNA from 1 species
CACGUGGGAAUAUACCUUUUGGUUCGGAACAACGCAGGGAAACUUGCGCUAAUACCGAAUGUGCCCUUACGGGAAAGAUUUAUCGCCAAAGGAUUAGCCCGCGUCCGAUUAGCUAGUUGGUGAGGUAAUGGCUCACCAAGGCUCCGAUCGGUAGCUGUUCUGAGAGGAAGAUCAGCCACACUGGGACUGAGACACGGCCCAGACUCCUACGGGAGGCAGCAGUUGGGAAUCUUGGACAAUGGGGGAAACCCUGAUCCAGCCAUGCCGCGUGAGUGAUGAAGGCCUUCGGGUUGUAAAACU